rnacentral:rRNA from 1 species
AUGAAGAUUAAACUGUCUCUUGUAGUNGACCUAUGAAACUGAUCUUGUAGUCCAAAAGCUACAAUAUAUCCACCAGACGAGAAGACCCUGUGGAGCUUUUAAACCAAAACCAAAUAUAUGUCCACUUGGUUUUUAGUUGGGGCAACUUCGGAGCACAAAUUAACCUCCGACAAACCACAAAUCAAGACAAACAAGUCAAAACCCAUACUUGACCCAAUAGUCUGAUCCAGACUAUUUGACCAAUGAACCAAGUUACCCCAGGGAUAACAGCGCUAUCCUCUUUUAGAGUCCCUAUCGACAAGAGGGCUUACGACCUCGAUGUUGGAUCAGGACACC